UACGUAGGGGGCAAGCGUUAUCCGGAUUUACUGGGUGUAAAGGGAGCGUAGACGGUGUGGCAAGUCUGAUGUGAAAGGCAUGGGCUCAACCUGUGGACUGCAUUGGAAACUGUCAUACUUGAGUGCCGGAGGGGUAAGCGGAAUUCCUAGUGUAGCGGUGAAAUGCGUAGAUAUUAGGAGGAACACCAGUGGCGAAGGCGGCUUGCUGGACGGUAACUGACGUUGAGGCUCGAAAGCGUGGGGAGCAAACAGG
rnacentral:rRNA from 1 species